CACGUAGGGCGCAAGCGUUGUCCGGAAUUAUUGGGCGUAAAGGGUGCGUAGGCGGGUCUUUAAGUCAGGGGGGAAAUCCUGGAGCUCAACUCCAGAACUGCCUUUGAUACUGAGGAUCUUGAGUUCGGGAGAGGUGAGUGGAACUGCGAGUGUAGAGGUGAAAUUCGUAGAUAUUCGCAAGAACACCAGUGGCGAAGGCGGCUCACUGGCCCGAUACUGACGCUGAGGCACGAAAGCGUGGGGAGCAAACAGG
rnacentral:rRNA from 1 species